AAGUCGUAACAAGGUAACCGUAGGUGAACCUGCGGUUGGAUCAUUAAAAAAAUGACUUUGGUCUCGUACCAAAUAAACACUUGUGUGCACCCACUGUCUGUCUUUGGUAGUUCGAGCCGCCCUCAAAACGGAACUCAACAUUCCUUGAGGGUGCUACCCGCCGUCCGUAUUGCGCCUUCGGGUGUUGCGGUAUGGGGUCCGGGUUGGGCUACCGCACUUUUGAACAAACCUUUUGUUUUCGUUAUCCAGUCUGAAAUUCGUGAGUUGAUCCUCACCGAUCAAUGAUUGAAAUACAACUUUUGACAACGGAUCUCUUGGCUCUC
rnacentral:misc_RNA from 1 species